UACGGAGGGAGCUAGCGUUAUUCGGAAUUACUGGGCGUAAAGCGCGCGUAGGCGGCUUUUCAAGUCGAUUGUGAAAUCCCCGGGCUUAACCUGGGAACUGCAGUCGAGACUGUCUAGCUAGAGUAUGGGAGAGGGAAGUGGAAUUUCAGGUGUAGCGGUGAAAUGCGUAGAUAUCUGAAGGAACAUCAGUGGCGAAAGCGACUUCCUGGACCAAUACUGACGCUCAUGUGCGAAAGCGUGGGGAGCAAACAGG
rnacentral:rRNA from 1 species